CAGUUGCUGCGAUGUGCGCAUGUGCGCCGCUAUUUAAUCUCCGUAUCGAGUUAUCGUGUUGACAAAGAACUUUAAAGUGUGGGAAUUGACUUCUCACUUGGAAUUUGGAGAUUUUUUUUAUUUUUAUUUUAUUGUAUUUUUUGGAUGGUUUUCGCACAGUUUAAUCGUUCCUCUUGUUUGACAACGUGAGUUUCUGGCGUAAAAGGUGACAAGUGACGUUAGUUCCGGCGACAAGUGUCCGAAGAAAUAAUUAGCGACACAGAGUAAAAAUAAAAACAAGAGAAUUUUACCAGAAAAGUUGAGUUUUGGCGUGAGCAGCAUUCCAUCUGUAGGCAAGUCUUGUCCUGUCUCGUCCCGACUUGUCCCGUGUGUCCUGACAGCAGGCAGCACGCCCUGUGGGACAGACAAAAGCAGCUGCAGUUUGUUGUUUGUUGUCGGUGGGUCUGUAAUCAGGUCAGUUGUUUGCAGGGCCUGACUUCACACCAGGGCUCCGAGGAACACAGAGGUGUGCCACAAUUAGAUCACUGCAAAGUCGUUCAGUUGGAAGUUGCAUUAGUCACACAGCAGGGAUAGUGUGACUCGAGAGUUUAUUGAAGAUCAGUGAUCUUCAGGAACGGUAAUUUGGUUGGCGAGGCUUACCAUCGAGCCGAGGCAGCAUCGCUCCAACAGCCGUCAGGGCAUAGAGUAAGCCAUCAAAUGUGAAAAUUCAGCAAAUGUGAAAUGGUAAUUCUGUAUCAGAGUCCACAUCGAUACUUUGUAUGGUAGCUUAAAUUCACCCAUUUUGGCGUCAGUUUCGGUACGUGACUUUCUCUUGCUCUCAGCUAACACCUAGCAGCAUGCGGCCAGUG